CCAGGUCAGUUCAGCUGGGAGCCCAGGUCAGUUCAGCAGGGAGCCCAGGUCAGUUCAGCAGGGAGCCCAGGUCAGUUCAGCAGGGAGCCCAGGUCAGUUCAGCUGGGAGCCCAGGUCAGUUCAGCUGGGAGCCCAGGUCAGUUCAGCUGGGAGCCCAGGUCAGUUCAGCAGGGAGCCCAGGUCAGUUCAGCAGGGAGCCCAGGUCAGUUCAGCUGGGAGCCC